rnacentral:RNase_P_RNA from 1 species
ACGAGUUGCUUUGGAAAAAAGGCAAGUGGAACGUGGUAAACCCCUCAAGCGAGCAACCCAAACUUAUGGUAGGGGCACUUGUCACGCGGAAUUUGAACGCACGACGAGGCUAUUUUUAGGCAUGCUUAAAAAUAGCAGACAGAUGAUUAUCGAAGGUUGGCUGAACGGUCAACUGGAACAAAACAUGGCUUAUAGAA